rnacentral:lncRNA from 1 species
AACUUUGUGUUUAGUCAUUCAUAUAUUACUAAAUAACAUCAAAAUUCAUCAUAUUUAGACAAAAAUGUUUCAUUCAAUAUACAAAAAAUCAGAUUAGACAAAAGUGGAAUAAAAGACUUCAUCAUAUUUAGACAAAAAUGUUUCAUUCAAUAUACAAAAAAUCAGAUUAGACAAAAGUGGAAUAAAAGACAAAUAUAAAUAGUAGCAUAAAAUAAUAUCAAAGACAUUAUAAUAAAACAUAAAAAGAACAUAUGAGAUGAGAGAUUAGAGAAGAUGAAAAAAAGAACAUAAGAGAUGCGAGAUUGAGAAGAAAAGUGCAAUAAAAACGUAAUUGGAAGAGAAAAUAGUAACAUAAAAAAUAAAAA